GUGAGGGUGUGUGUGGGGGAGGUCCUCCCAUACACACACCCUCACUCCCAUCCAUACACUCACCCUCUCUCACACACCCAACCUCCCACCUUUAAUGUGUGUGGAUGGGACUAAGGUUUUCUCAUUUCUUUCAGAUUGUGCGCCUCCGAGGUGAACGUCUGACUGAAGUGAACGUGUGGCUGGUCGAGAACUCCUCCAAACAGGUUUGUUUGUGUGGCUGACUGGACCUACUACAAGGUGCUUCUUGCAGAUACAUCAGUGAUGGUGAGGCCGUCACAUUACCAGCGGUUGUGGAUUUCUCAAUUCAACCUUUAUAUUGCAGACUCCACAUAAGGUAAAACACUUCCAUUCAGCAAUUGGUGUGCAGUGUCCAGAUUGUCAACAUUUAGUUCAGUAUGAUGUUACUUCUGGCCAGCUUAACCUGAGGAGAAAGUCAGUACAGUACACGAUUAGAUUUUGAAAAGGAAACUGCAAAAUCUCAUGUUGUUCUCCCGACCUCCGUAAAGUGUCAUUAAUGCAAGAACGAAUGUAAGUGUCGCCAAGACCAACACAUGUGGUAACUCCAACGAGAACCAGGCCAAUAAGGUAAGAAAUAAGGGAUUCCAACAUAUGGUGAGUCUGUUAGAUU
rnacentral:lncRNA from 1 species